rnacentral:rRNA from 1 species
CCUACGGGAGGCAGCAGUGGGGGAUAUUGCACAAUGGGGGGAACCCUGAUGCAGCAACGCCGCGUGAAGGAAGAAGGCUCUCGGGUUGUAAACUUCUUUUAUCAGGGACGAAGCAAGUGACGGUACCUGAUGAAUAAGCCACGGCUAACUACGUGCCAGCAGCCGCGGUAAUACGUAGGUGGCAAGCGUUAUCCGGAUUUACUGGGUGUAAAGGGAGCGUAGACGGUGAGACAAGUCUGAAGUGAAAGCCCGGGGCUCAACCCCGGGACUGCUUUGGAAACUGCCUGACUGGAGUGCUGGAGAGGCAAGCGGAAUUCCUAGUGUAGCGGUGAAAUGCGUAGAUAUUAGGAAGAACACCAGUGGCGAAGGCGGCUUGCUGGACAGUAACUGACGUUGAGGCUCGAAAGCGUGGGGAGCAAACAGGAUUAGAUACCCGAGUAGUC